GUUCCCAGUGGGUCCUCUACAAAAUAGCUCCGGUAGGAAAUAUCAACGGGUUUGUUCUCUGUAACGUCUUUGAUAAAACCGCAUUUUGAGCGGAUUUCACGCACUACUUGAGAAAUAAUUCUAAUUUACUAGUAUUUGUGACUCUCUUCUUUUUCAUAUAUCUUUUAUAAUGAGGGGUUUCUUGAUAUAAAUGUGCACGCCUCCUUCAAGCUAAUUUAUGUUCUGUGCGAUGUUUUAGUGGGAUUGUUUACAAUGUAACAUACAAUGUAACACACGGAUGAAUAUGAAAAUAAUGAUUAAUCUAUAUUUUGACAGAUUUGUGUAAUUACGUAAUUUUCCUACAAAUAUGUAAUAAUAGUUCGUUACUAUUUGAAAAAUAUCACCCUCGAACUAAUAUUAGGGAAAAACGCUUCCAAGCAUUGACUUGGCAAAUAUCCUUCACCCCCAUUGACUCGAGGUAAAUAAAGCACCCAUGAUUAAACAACAUGGUGGUUGACAGUAAUCUGGGUUAGCAAGAAAUGUAGACAUUCAUCUCUACAUCUUUGCAAACCACUUAGUGCUGAAUUCUCGGGAAAAAAAAGUAAAUUAGCUAUCUAUUCUACUGCUGAAAAAACAACGGAUUUCCGGUUUCUAGUUGUUCGUUGAUCUCAACGACAGAAUGAGCAACAUCUACAUUCAAGAGCCUCCAUCAAAUGGAAAGAGUGGUGCCAGAGUUUAUUGUCCAAGGAGGAGAUCCCAAAGGCACCUGGAGGGUGGAGAGUCCGUCUAUGGAUGGCAGUUCAAGGUUAACCUUCACUGUUUCAUCACCUCAUUAUCUCGGAUCAUGUUCAAUCCCCCCAAAAGAUAAGAUAAGACUAGACAUAAACAGAAUUCUUCUACUUGGAACCUUUGCCAACUCACCCAUACUACUGCUACUAAUGAUAACAUGGCCAACGCAGGGCCCCAUGACAACGACAGCCAGUUCUUCUUCACCCUUGGCCGGGCAGAUGAGCUCAACAACAAACACACCAGUUUUGGAAAGGUGAUACAGUGUACAACAUGCUCAGGUUAGCAGAAGUGGAGUGUGAUCAAGAGGAAAGACAUUUUAAAUCCACACAAGUUACGAACCACUGAGGUGUUACAUUCUCCCUUCGAUGACAUCAUUCCACGUGAAACAAAAAAAUUCCAGAAGGAUCAAGACAAAAAAUAAGG